rnacentral:rRNA from 1 species
UGGGGAAUUUUGGACAAUGGGGGAAACCCUGAUCCAGCCAUCCCGCGUGUGCGAUGAAGGCCUUCGGGUUGUAAAGCACUUUUGGCAGGAAAGAAACGUCGCGGGUUAAUACCCCGCGAAACUGACGGUACCUGCAGAAUAAGCACCGGCUAACUACGUGCCAGCAGCCGCGGUAAUACGUAGGGUGCAAGCGUUAAUCGGAAUUACUGGGCGUAAAGCGUGCGCAGGCGGUUCGGAAAGAAAGAUGUGAAAUCCCAGAGCUUAACUUUGGAACUGCAUUUUUAACUACCGGGCUAGAGUGUGUCAGAGGGAGGUGGAAUUCCGCGUGUAGCAGUGAAAUGCGUAGAUAUGCGGAGGAACACCGAUGGCGAAGGCAGCCUCCUGGGAUAACACUGACGCUCAUGCACGAAAGCGUGGGGAGCAAACAGGAUUAGAUACCCUGGUAGUCCACGCCCUAAACGAUGUCAACUAGCUGUUGGGGCCUUCGGGCCUUGGUAGCGCAGCUAACGCGUGAAGUUGACCGCCUGGGGAGUACGGUCGGCAAGAUUAAAACUCAAAGGAAUUGGAACGGGGUCGAUAGCUGUUUCCUGCUUGA